rnacentral:lncRNA from 1 species
CAACUAUUGAUGUCCAUGAAAAGAACAUGGGAUUUUUUUUAAGAAUAGAAAAAUCCUGCCUACGAGCUCUAAAUUGGAUCAGUACAUUGUGAUAGACAUAAUAUAUCAUCUUUGGAUGUGUCUGCAAGUAAGCUCAUCGUUGGAUAUAGGGUCAAGAUAUUUAAGGAAGGUUUGUAUAUUAACAUAUACCUGGAAGUUAUUUAUUAGGAACAAAUAUAAAUGUGAAUAUCUGUAAUCAUGCAACACAUAGAAACAAAGAAGGAAGAAAUUCUCACCUCAGAGUAAAUUAUUAUGGGUGGUGAGUACCCACAAUACAAUUCCUGAUUUCUGAUACCCUGGCCUUUUGCAGAAUUAGGAUUUGGACCUACCUUUAACUUCAGGUUGUAUCUGGUAAGGACCUGACUUAUUUCAAAGCUUUCAACCUCUAUGUGUUUUCUAUCUCAAGAUUUUCAGAAAAGCUAGAUUUAUCUGUAUCUUGCUUCAAGCAGUCUUUUUAGAAAGUCAGAGAAGGAUUUUAGCAAAAACAUGUCUCAGAUGCCACUUUAAGCUGCAUCUCAAUGGUAACAGCCCAUUUUUUUUUUCUUAACUGCCUUUUUCUCCCUCGAGCUUUUAGUUCUACGGCGUGUAUCUCUGAAGUCCAUUCACAUGCAACUCCGACUAAGCCUCCCACUGACUUUCCAGCAAGACAGCUGAAUCAGGGAUAUGUAAAGCAACCAGAAGACAGAGUGGUACUAAAGCUCCUGUCUGAAAUUGGUCAAAUUUCUACUUCACUGCACUUCAAUGUAUCUCAGCUUUUUUAUCCAUGUCACAGAGAGACAGUCCGAGACAAACAUAAUCCUUACAGGAACAGAGCAAAGUUACAUCAUUUAAUGUCUGCUGAACAGUGCAUAUCCAAAGAUGAAUGUUUUCAGCACUGUUAUCACAGCCAGCCCUGUGAGAAGUUAGUGAGAAGAAUCACAUCUCCAUGGAGGAACAGUAGGGGGCUUCUGGAGGUUGAAAGCCCCUAAUCCAAGAAAAUCUCUUUUAGGUGAGGUAGAUCAGAGCUGUGUCUAUUUGAGUUUUCAAGAAUGGGGGUUCCACAAUCUCUCUGGCCAAACUGCCCCUGUAUUUCACAGUUCACAACAGAAAAGUUUUCUUUAAUGCAACCAAUUCUUUUGGUGUGGGAGAAACUGGCUGCUAAUUUUGAGACACUGGUUUUGGGGAAAUGGCUGAAAAUAACCAUUAAAUAUGCUUUUUCUUGAUUUUCUCUAGCUUUAUCCAGCAUUUGGACACACUCAGGGUUGUCUGCUGAGAGCUAGGUAACAACUUCAGGCUGAUAUUCCUGAAGAACAAAGGAGAUGCCUGUUCCUUCUGUGUCACUUUUGUUCUCAAAGCAGUGUGCACUUUAUCAUACAGAAAACUCUGCUGCAUAAAAAAAAAAAAUUGCUUGUACUUGUUCCUUUGACUCUGGUUUCUUCUCUGGUAAGAAACUGGCUGCAAGUUGGAUUUCUUUUUAUAAGCAGCAGCUCUAAGCAGCUCUACUUUUCAUCUCAGCCAAUCGAGGUGUUUUCAUUCAUUCACUCAGUC